rnacentral:rRNA from 1 species
UACAGAGGGUGCGAGCGUUAUUCGGAAUUAUUGGGCGUAAAGAGCUCGUAGGCGGUUUGUCACGUCUGCUGUGAAAUCCCGAGGCUCAACCUCGGGCCUGCAGUGGGUACGGGCAGACUGGAGUGCGGUAGGGGAGAAUGGAAUUCCUGGUGUAGCGGUGGAAUGCGCAGAUAUCAGGAGGAACACCGAUGGCGAAGGCAGUUCUCUGGGCCGGAACUGACGCUGAGGAGCGAAAGCGUGGGGAGCGAACAGG